ensembl:lncRNA
GUGCUUUGCAGCUGUUAGACCUGAACUUUUGAGUCUGUUUAAAGAGCAUCUUGGGCGAGCUUGUUGAGACCUGGAAAGGCCCAGGAGUCAUGGCACCUCCUUGUUCCCCAACCAGGGAUCAAACCGACGCCCCUGCAUUGGAAGCAUGGAGUCUUAACCACAGGACCGUCAGGGAGGUCCCCCAUACAGCUUUUCGCCAAGUAUUUGGCACAGAUGAAAACACAAGGCAAGCUAUGCUUUGGUGACGAGCCAAGGAAAAUAUCCACUGAAUACAAACCAGGCUCCCAGAACAUGCCCAGCGAAGUGCACAGGAAACACUCUGUCCUCCGCGAGCGAGCGCUGAAGGCGGCCUCUCCUCUCUGCUUCCUCGAGGCCCCAGCCGCAGGUUGCCACAGAGCAGCCGCCCUGGGUGUCGGGUCACCCAUCCAACUCCACGGGCAGGUGCUGUCUGAGCCUGGGCGCCGUGUGUGCAGACAGCGGCAGCGCGCCCACCCGCCUGCGCCCCUCACCGCGGAGGCUGAGCUUCGGCACCUGGACGCCGGGGCCCCGCCGUCAGAGAGCGGCUCCAUCCGGACCCCAGCGGCCUGGCCCAGGCCCUGCGGGUGUGAGUGGAG